UGGCUCAGGACGAACGCUGGCGGCGUGCCUAACACAUGCAAGUCGAGCGGAGUCAGUAAGAGGAAGUUUUCGGAUGGAAUCUUAUUGAUUUAGCGGCGGACGGGUGAGUAACGCGUGAGCGACCAACCUUGCACAGGGGGAUAACGGACCGAAAGGUCCACUAAUACCGCAUGAGACCACGGUGUUGCAUGACACAGAGGUCAAAGGAGCAAUCCGGUGCAAGACGGGCUCGCGUCCGAUUAGGUAGUUGGAGGGGUAACGGCCCACCAAGCCUAUGAUCGGUAGCCGACCUGAGAGGGUGAUCGGCCACAUUGGAACUGAGAUACGGUCCAAACUCCUACGGGAGGCAGCAGUGGGGAAUAUUGGGCCAAUGGGGGAAACCCUGACCCAGCAACGCCGCGUGAAGGAAGAAGGUUUUCGGAUUGUAAACUUCUGUCCUUGGUGAAGAGAAGAAGACGGUAGCCAAGGAGGAAGCCCCGGCUAACUACGUGCCAGCCGCGGC
rnacentral:rRNA from 1 species